GAUGAACGCUGGCGGCGUGCCUAAUACAUGCAAGUCGAGCGAACAGACGAGGAGCUUGCUCCUCUGACGUUAGCGGCGGACGGGUGAGUAACACGUGGAUAACCUACCUAUAAGACUGGGAUAACUUCGGGAAACCGGAGCUAAUACCGGAUAAUAUAUUGAACCGCAUGGUUCAAUAGUGAAAGACGGUUUUGCUGUCACUUAUAGAUGGAUCCGCGCCGCAUUAGCUAGUUGGUAAGGUAACGGCUUACCAAGGCAACGAUGCGUAGCCGACCUGAGAGGGGGAUCGGCCACCCUGGAACUGCGAACCGGCCCAGCCCCCCACGGGAGGCAGCAGUAGGGAAUCUUCCGAAAUGGGCAAAAGCCUGACGGGGCAACGCCGCGGGAGGAAUGAAGGUUUUCGGAUCGUAAAACCCUGUUUUUGGGGAAAAAAAAAUUUUAAAGUAACGAUGCCCCUCUGGAGGGUACCUAAUCAGAAAGCCACGGCUAACUACGU
rnacentral:rRNA from 1 species